rnacentral:lncRNA from 1 species
UGUACCUAUUUUUAAUUGUACCAAUUUUCUUUUCAUUUUUAAUUUGUACCCAUAUAUUAGCUUCUUUUUGUGCCCAUAUUUUUAAAAGUUUUAUUUGUGUUUGUACUCAUGUGUAUACCAUCACGUAACAUUGUAUAUUUAAUCAAUAAUAGAAAAAUUACAUAUGGUAUAUUUAUGUUUUAUGCCUAAACUUUGUAUCAUAUAUUUAUAUUUUUAGUUUGUACCCACUUUUAAUUUGUAACAUUUUUUUUUAAUUUGUAGUAUUUUCUUUUUAGUUUUAUUUUGUACCCAUGUAUUAAUUUCUUUUAGCGCCUAUAUUUUUUAAAAAUUCAUUUGUACUCAUAAUUUUUUAAUCUUUUAUUAGUACCCUAAUUUAUUUAUAAUGUACCCAUUCUUCUUUAUUAAUGUACCACUUUGUUAUAUGUGAAAUGUACCAAUUUUUUUUAACACUACGGAUACAUUCUUUUGCCAUUUAUUAUUUCUUAUUUUUACAUAGUUUUUAUCCAUUAAUUCAAUUAAAAUGUUUGAAUUUUUUUAUUGUAACCGUUUCUAAUAGUAUUAUAAUGAGGGAUUUUAAAUUUAUAGGAUUAUAAAUCUCAUAAAAUAUCAAACAAUUAAUGUCAAAACUAUAAAACUAUAAAUAUUAAUUGUAAUAUAAUGAGGUGUACAAAGUGAAGGGACUUUGAUCAAACUUUGAAUACCAUUAAGGUUAUAGUAAAAAAAUGUUAAGGAUUAGGGACUGCAUCCAAAGUCCAAGUCUUAAGUCAUAUGCUUCUACAAAUAUUUGUUCAUUGGCUUCAUUACCAACUUACCAUCAAGGAAAACAAAUAGAAUUUUAUGGUGACCAGCAUCUUCAAGGACAAGCUGUUUUUUUGUCCAUACGUUCUAGGUUGUUCAUAAAAUCAAGGCUACUAGAGUUGGCCUCCUUAAGUGGCAAAAGGUGGUAUUUCAAGGUAGAAGGGAGGAGAUAAAUGACAUCCGCUCGAAGCUCGGCUUCAUCCUCGCUCAACCUUUAUCGAAGGCGUCCUUAUUAGAAAGGUUGCAUUUAAUGGAGCGUCUAGAUGCUCUUCUAGAACAAAAAGAGAAGACCUAUUGGCACCAAAGGUCUCGGUCUCUUUGGUUGCAGCAAAGGGACAGGAACACCCAUUUUUUCAUCAACGGGCCAAAAACCGUAAGGCAAACAAAUUUAUCAAAGGGUUGCUAGAUAGGAACGGUUCCUGGCAAUCCAAUGACAGAGGUAUUAAGACCUCGGUCCUGAGCUAUUUCAAGGACUUUUUCACGGCUAGUCCUUUGGGGGAUCGAGAGGAAGUCCUCUAGACCAUCAAUCGUCGAGUGACUCUUAACAUGAAUAUCAGUUUGGACCUUCCAAUAUAGGCUGAAGAGGUUUGGGUGGCCAUUUUCAGCAUGCACCCUCCACGGCGCUGGGGCCCGAUGGAAUGUCCCUCUUCUUCUAUCAACGUUUCUAGCCCAUUGUUGGUUUGGAUGUGACGGCCGCCAUCCAAUGUCUUUUCCAAUCAAGAAGAAUUCUCAAGCAGAUAAAUUUCACCCAUAUCUACCUUAUUCCCAAAGUGAAAGACCCCAAGAAUAUGUCCCAAUUCAGGCCUAUUAGUUUCUAUAACGUGGUCUUUAAAAUUGCCUCAAAGGUAAUGGUGAAUCGGCUAAAAGAGAUCCUCAACCAUAUCAUUUCUCCUGCCCAGAGCGCGUUCGUCUGGGGUAGAUUGAUAGCAGAUAACUCCCUGCUGGCUUCAGAGAUUUCUUAUUCGCUCAUUAAGCAUCCCCGGGGUAAAAAAGGCUUACAAUAGAAUUGAAUAGGGGUAUCUACGGUGCAUCUUAUCUUGCAUGGGGUUUUCCCUAAAAUGGACUAACCUGGUCAUGAGACUAGUGUGCUCGGUCUAGUACUCCUUCGUAGUGAAUGGGCGUCAUAUAGGUUACCUCCACCCCUCUCGUGGGAUCCGUCAAGGGGACCCUAUCUCUCCCUACCUGUUUUUGCUGUGUGCGAAAUGGUUAUCAGGCCUUAUCACCUAAAGGAAGGUCAAGGGUAACAUCUAGGGGAUCACAAUCAGUUCUGGAGGCCCUAUUGUGAACCAUUUACUUUUCGCAGAUGAUAGUCUGUUAUUUUGUCGCGCCAAUGAAUCGAAAUGCCACUAGAUGCCUGAGAUCCUCUCGUCCUACGAAAGUGCCUCGGGUCAAAAAGUCAACCUCCAGAAAAAUGAGGUCUGCUUUAGCCGCAAUAUCAAAAAAACUAUCCGAGGCAAGCUGGCUACCUUACUGGGCGUUCAAUUGGUCGACCGACAUUUAAAGUACCUGGGCAUGCCAACUUAUUUGGGAAGAAACAGAAGCCAAUGCUUUGCAUACAUCAAGGAAUGGUUGUGGAAGAGACUUCAAAGCUGGCUUUCAUGGGAAAAACUCUACAUCCAGAAAUCCAAAGAAGGCUUGGACCUACAUAACUUGUAUGUUUUCAACCUCAACCUCCUAGCGAAACAAGGGUGGAGAAUCAUCAUGAAUCCUAUCUCUCUGGUUUCGAGGGUUCUCAAGGCAAAGUACUUCCCCAACGAAUCCUUCCUCGAGGCCAUGGUGUCGCCUGAUGCUUCAUACUCCCAGAAAAGUAUUUGUGCAGUCACUACUACAAUAUUAGCUUUAGGUGGUGGAUGAUGGUGGCGGAUAUUAGAAAAUUCAUGUCGGAUAAAUUAUAUCCGACACAUCAUUUAAUUAGUGGCGGAUAUUAGAAAAAUCAUGUCGGUUAUAUCCGACAUAAAUUCCUAACGGAUAUUUAGUGGCGGAUAUCAAAAAAAUCUUGUCGGCUAUAACCGACAGUAUUUUUGAAUUUAAAAAAAAAAAUAUUUUUGACAGAUUCUGGUGGUUUUUAAGUUAAUGGUGACGGUUAUAACCGACAGAAAUGAAAAUUUUAUUAUUUUAAAAUGUUAUAUUGAUUAAAAAUAAAUAAAUAAACACAUUUUAAAAUUAUUUUUUUUCACCCAUGACCCUAAAGUCUAAUGAACCCAAUUCCCACGAGCCAUAAAUUUUCUGUGAGAAUAAUAACAACAGACUACAAUUUGAAGAUCUAUCAUUUUUGUAAUAAGGAUUAUGCUCCCUCACAAGCAAGCAACAAGAUACAAAGAAAUUCAAACAAUUUGUUUCAAUGCGUCACAAAGCACAUUGUUUGGCACAUAAACACACAUGAACAUCUAGUGCACUCUAUCAUGUCUAAUUUUAUUAUUUUAAAAUGUUAUAUUGAUUAUAAAUAAAUAAACACAUAUUUUAAAUAUUUUUUUUUCACUCAUGGCCCUGUCGGAUAUAAUUGACACGAACAAAGCAAAAUUUUGGACGGCCGCCAAAAUAAUCUCUGAAUGUUUUUUUUUUUUUUUUUUUGCGAUUUUUUACACAUGCUAUCUCGGAGUAUAUACAAACAUAUUUGACAGUUGGAUCAUUGAAACUAGUUUCGUAGAAUGCAUAUCCUAUCAAAUUGAUAGAUUUAACAAACACUUAAGAGUUAAUGUUAUACUUCCAUUAAGUAUAAAAUACGAUUUAUCCACUAGUGUAAUUAUUUUAAAUUGAAGAUUGAAUUCAUUCAUUGCAUUCUUAUAGUAUCAAGGAGUGUAGCUGCAAAAAAUCAUCAAAAUUGAAGCUAAAAUAACCGUUAAAUUGUGAUUUUUUGUUUAUAACCGUUGAAAACUUUUGUUUUGUUACCUAAUCUCUGACUGUUUGUUUUUUGUGAUUUUUUAUGUAUGUGAUCUCGAAGUAUGUAAAAACAAAUUUGACGAUUAGAUCAUUGAAAAAAGUUGCGUAGAAUGUGUAUCGCGUCAAAACAGUAGAUUAAAUAAACACUUAAGAGUUAAUGUUAUACUUCCAUUAAGUAUAAAAUAAGAUUUUGUGGUAUCCACUAAUAUAAAUAUUUUAAAUUGAAGAUCGAAUUCAUUCAAUGCAUUCUUAUAGGGUCGAGGAGUGUAGCUGUAAAAAAUCAUCAAAAUCGAAGCUAAAAUAACCGUUAAAUUGUGAUUUUUCGUUUAUAACCGUCGAAAACUUUUGUUUUGUUACCUAAUCUCUGAAUGUUUUUAUUUUGUAAUUUUAUACGUAUGUGAUCUCGGAGUAUGUACAAACAAAUUUGACGGUUAGAUCAUUGAAAAAAGUUUCAUAGAAUGUGUAUUGCGUCAAAAUGGUAGAUUAAAUAAACACUUAAGAGUUAAUGUUAUACUUCCAUUAAGUAUAAAAUAAGAUAAAUAUUUUAAAUUGAAGAUCAAAUUUAUUCAUUGCAUUCUUAUAGGGUCAAGGAGUGUAGUUGUAAAAAAUCAUUAAAAUCGGAGCUAAAAUAACUGUUAAAUUGUGAAUAUUUGUUUAUAAUCGUCGAAAACUUUUGUUCCGUUACGUAAUCUCUGAAUGUUUUUUUUUUUACGAUUUUUUACGUAUGCAAUCUCAGAGUGAGUACAAAUAAAUUUGACGGUUGGAUCGUUGAAAAAAGUUUCGUAGAAUGCAUAUCGAGUUAAAACGGUAGAUUAAACAAACACUUAGAGUUAAUGUCAUACUUCCCCAUCAAGUAUAAAAUAAGAUUUUGUGGUAUCCACUAGUGUAAAUAUUUUAAAUUGAAGAUCGAAUUCCUUUAAUGCAUUCUUAUAGGGUUCAGGAGUGUAGCUGUAAAAAAUCAUCAAAAUCGGAGCUAAAGUAACCAUUAAAUUGUGAUUUUUCUUUUAUAACCGUUGAAAACUUUUGUUCUGUUACCUAAUCUCUUGAUGUUUUUUUUUGUGAUUUUUUACGUAUGUGAUCCCGAAGUGUGUACAAACAAGUUUGACGGUUGGAUCGUUGAAAAGCGCUUCAUAGAAUGUGUAUCGCAUCAAAACAGUAGAUUAAACAAACACUUAGAGUUAAUGUUAUACUUCCAUAGAGUUAGUGUUAUACUUCCAUUAAGUAUAAAAUAAGAUUUUGUCAUAUCCACUAGUGUAAAUAUUUUAAAUUGAAGAUCAAAUUUAUUCAUUACAUUCUUAUAGGGUCGAGGAGUGUAGCUGUAAAAAAUCAUUAAAAUCGAAGCUAAAAUGACCGUUAAAUUAUGAAUUUUCGUUUAUAACCGUCGAAAACUUUUGUUCCAUUACUUAAUCUCUUAAUGUUUGUUAUGUACGAUUUUUUACGUAUGCGAUCUUGUAGUAUCUACAAACAAGUUUGACGGUUAGAUCGUGGAAACUAGUUUCGUAAAAUGCAUAACUUUGCCUAAAUUUUGAAGUGGGAAAAGUAAUUUGUGCUAAAUUUUUAUUUAUGUUUUUCAAGUAUUGAUUAGACAAUAUUUAGUUUGUGCGAUGACAUUUUCAUUGUACAAUUCUCUUUUUGUUUUUUUAUCGCAUAUUUUACAUGGAUUAUUAAACCAAAAAUGUAAAAAUUAUUUAUUAAACCAAACAAUUAUUUAUUUAUUUUUUAAAAACAUAUUCUAUUUAAAUACAUAUUAUUUAUUUAUUUAUUAAACCAAACAAUUAUUAUUUUAUUUUUAAAAUCGUAACAAAAUUUUGAGGGGGGAAUUUCAAAUUUUGGGGGAAAAUUUAAAAUUUUCAAAGGGAAUUUUGCCGCUAUUUUGUUUUUGUUGGUUAUAACCGACAUUAAUGAAAAGUUUAUGUCAGUUUUUAUUUAAAAAAAUGUUUCUGUCGGUUUUAAUCGACAGUAAUGAAAUUUUUUCACAAUAUAACCUCUCAAUCUCUUCCUUGCUCCGGUGCUUCUCCUUUCCCCCUUUUCUUCUCCCUUCAUUUUCUUUGUCAACACAAGCUCAUUUUCUUUGGCAUUAGUCUCAAGCUUUGAUUCCACAGAAGGGGAUAUACUAUUUUCAUCUUUCGCAACAACACCAUUUGCAUGAGACUUUGAGCUUUCAGAUUGCAGCUUGGUUUUGCCUCAAUCUGAUUUUUUUUUCUUGUUGUUCUUAAGGGUUUUAAGAGGUGUCCCAAGUCCCUCAACCUUCAACUCAUUUUUAGCCUUCUCAUUUGACGGUUUCUUAUCUUUGUCUGCAUUCGUUUGGUCUUGCAAGUGUUGUAUCCAGCAAGCUGCAAGUUCCCAUCUCACAAAAUUAUCAUAAUCUAGCUCCUCUUUCUCAAGCUUAGCAAGACUUUCUUCUAACACCCCCUCAACAAAAACACACGAGGCUGGAAGAUCUUCGUGUUCCAGAGUUUGCAUAUGUGAUGCCGGUUUAUUGUGCUCUGAAGGUAUUGUCUAGUCAAGUAGUAAUCUUAAACUGCAAAAAACAAGGUACUAGUUAGGCUCUUAUACUAACAACUCCAUGACAAAAGGUUGGUAGCUUUACAUAAUACUCACUGACACAUUAUUGUGUACCUGUUGAUAUUAAGGGCAUUAGCGCCAUUGCUCCCUUGCCUAAGACUUUAAGGGCCCUGAGGUUUUCGAGAUCGAGCUCUGACGAGGUUUCGCAUGGUGAAUGCAGGGGAUAUAGAAAAUGCAGAAUUUGUUUUUUUAUUAUUAAUAUAUUUUAUGUCGGAUUUUGCUUAAAAUUCGACAGUAAUAUACGAUUUUUGUCAGUUUUGGACCGCCAGUUAUAGAUAAUUUUGUAGUAGUGAGUGAGGGAUAUAAUAUCUAGGGGUUCAAGGUGGCAAGUGGGUAGCAGAUCCUCAAUAAGAAUUUAGGAUGACCCUUGGGUUCCUUUGUCUAGUCGAUCACAAAUUUUCACUCCAAAGCCGGCCAAUUCACCUCUUCGUAUGGUUAGUGAGUUGAUUGACCAUAUAGCCAAAGUGUGGAAUCUCGACCUCAUUUCUGGCCUUUUCUCUGCUCCGGAGGUCAACAUAAUCCAGUCUAUCCCCCUGAGCCUUUGAAGUCUAGCAGAUUUACUAUCAUGGCACAUUGAGAAGAAUGGGAGAUUCUCAAUAAAGAGCGCCUAUCACCUUGCUUGGGAGUGGCUCUAUCCAAGCAAUACAGGGUCUUCAUCCUUAAACCCUCUCGGGAGAUCAACCUUUUGGUCCAAGAUAUGGCCCCCAAAGGUCAAAAUAUGCAUGUGGCGCCUUUGUAACGACAUCAUCCCCACCAAAGUGAACCUCGCUAAGUGCCACAUCACGACUAAUCGUGCGUGAUGUGCAACCACCCCGAGGAAACAAUCCACCACUUACUGAAGGAAUGUCCCUUUGCUAAAUGUGCUUGGUUAUCAUCCCACCUUGGAUGCCCUAUCCGGGACUCCUAUCCCUUAUCUUUCCUCUCUUGGGCCAGAGACAAUGCGGGUAUACUAAAAUUUGAAAUGUUCGAUUCCUUUAUGAUGAUCUGCUGGGCACUUUGGGGUGCUAGAAACACAAAGCUUUAGAGUUCUAAAUGCGAUCCUCCGGACACUGUAGUGCUCCGAGCUACUCAGUGGUGGCUCUCCUUUCUCUCGGCAAACGAAAGAGUGGUCCCUACCCCCUUGCAAGGUUCGGCAAAGUGGUCCUGCUUUCAUUCGGGUCGCCUCAAACUCAACAUUGACACCUCCUGGAACCGGGUCAAUUGUUCAGGUGGCUACGGUUUGAUAAUAAGGGAUGAUUCAAGAGGCUUCUUGGCUGCCAAAUGUGGAAGCUUCCCUGAUAUUUUCUCCCCCUCCAAUAAGAAGCAAUGGUUGUUCGAAUUGGUUUGAUUUGGGUGUAAGAAGAAAGGGUUCUCUAAUAUCCUUUGUGAAUCAGAUUCACUUCAGAUUAUCGAAGCCUCACAGCAAUCUUCGAUUAACCGAUCUUCUCUUGGUCAAUUAAUCGAAGACAUCAAGUCGCUGGCUUCGGUGGUCAUUGAAGCUCCUAUCACCCAUGUUCGUCAACAAGCCAAUGUCGCAGAUCAUAGACUUGCUCGUCUCAGACUCUCAAUCAAUCAGUGCGUUGAAUGGGUGGAGCAUCCCCCUAGUAUUAUUUUCGACAUAUUAGCGGUGAAUUGCCCCACAUCUGUGUAACCCUUGAAUGUACUAUUUUCUCUUUGAGAUGAAUGAAAUUCACUAUCGAUUCCUUCAAAAGAAAAAAAACAAAAAACAAGAAUAGGUCAAUUGAAUGGCACCCCUGUUUGCCUGAGAAGAUGAUUAAAAAGACAAAUCAAUAUCAAUACAAAAAUAGAACCAACCAACCAUUCUUUUGGUAGGCAUAAAAGAAGACGUAUACGAAAAUGCAGUAAAAAUUACCUAGUUAUAACCAAAGAAUUCAUAAAUCCAUGACGCCAUGGAGGCAUGGACUUUCCUGACUCCCCCCCUCCCCCCAAAAUUCCAAACCCAGCAAUCUGCAUCAAGAAGAACUUACAUGUAAUGGGUAAACAGCUUACGUAACGUCCCGUUCAAUAAUACAAUUUGUGAUGUUAUGUUAUUGAAUUGGAACACCACGUGACAGCAAACCUAUUUUAUACAAGUUACUCUCAUUCCCCCUCCCACUACCCUUGAAAGAGACGUGUCUAAUUUCAUUUCUUUUCUUCUAAUUCACACAAGGAAAUUGACACCCCACCUCACUCCUUGUAUACCUCUCAUCUUCUUUUUCAAUUCUCUCAAGCUUCAUGAAUUUCCUCAACACUAAAACCUCUUUAAUGGCAGUCAUCAAACACAGAAAGCUCUUCCCAUCUGCACCAAUUUCCACAAACCAAACUGAUUGUCCAGACUUUUGUGGCCCCGAUUGCACGUACGACUGUUACCCUUAUGCUGAUUUCUACACACCACCACCACCACCAACUUCAGUUAUCGAUCAAACCAACCAAAACCACCAUAUCUCACCUUAUGUGGUGCUUUUAGUCUCUUUGCUAGCCAGUUUUUUCCUUCUUAUUGGGUACUAUAUUAUUGUGGUGAAGUCUUGCACAAGUUGGUGCAGUCACAGAAGUAUUGGAUCUUCACCCUCUCAAUCUACCGGCACGGAUGAAGAGUUACUUGCAGAUCAAGUAGACCAUCCAAUCUGGUUCAUCUCCUCUGUUGGUUUGCAACAGUCAAUCAUAAAUUCAAUUUCAGUUUGUAAGUACAGGAAAGACGAGGGCUUGAUCGAAGGGACCGAGUGUUCGGUUUGUUUGAAUGAGUUUCGAGAAGAUGACACUCUAAGGCUGUUGCCAAAGUGCAAUCAUGCUUUCCACAUUCCUUGUAUUGACACUUGGUUGAGGUCUCACACGAAUUGCCCGAUAUGUCGCGCUAAUAUUGUGAGAGAGACUCAGAUCAGUGCUUCCACAGACACAAAUGGGGAACCCCAGAUGGAGAAUUCUGAGAGUGAAGAUGAAAUAGGUGCAAAUAAUCAAGUGGGAUAUCAAGACGUUUGUGAAAACAGAGCUGGGGUGGAUAAUGAAGGUGAAAAUAUGCCAAAGCAGGAAAUAAAUUCAAAUGAAAAUUGGGUUCUUGAAAGAAGGUCUAUCUCAAUUAUUUCCUCAAUGGCUCCAACAAAGUUAGUCAUCAAAGUGCAGAAUGCUGAGAAAAUGCUUUCGGACCUUGCUCGAAAGCGUCGUUCUUCGUUUAGGCAAUGUCUACAUAUAAGCCCUAUUUUGAUGAAAAGGUCUUUGAGACGUAAGUGGAGCAAAAUUUCAGUUGUUCCCCGUAAAGUUUGUUUAAUUGUGUGAGAUGUUUGUACUGUAAUAAAGAGAUUUCUUGUUUCUUGACAUGGAAAGUGACAUUUUAUUUGAAAUUUUGACUUAUCAAAAAAGGAGAUUGGAGCACCAAAUGCAGAAUCCAAUUGCUGUCUGCAGCAAAAUGCUCAAGAAAAGUAAAGCUACAUGUGGUUCAUAAGAAAUUUAUAACCAAGUUAACCGAAGUCCAUUCAUUAAUCACUUAUUUAUUUUAUUUUUGGAUACACCAAAAGGAAAAGUGGAGAGCAUCUAAUCAUAGUACUUUUUUGUACAUGGGGUUUUCAAAAAGUAGAACAUAAAAAUGAUCUUUUAUAGUGCAACCAAAACGUAAAAAAUGAGCCAAUUUCCAGUCCAAGCUAAUCUAAAAGGAAAGGAAAAAUGAUGUACAAUAAUGCUCACUAAACAACUACUGAUACCUACAUUUCGAAUGUGAGGAUUAUAACUACAGAAUUUCCUUUUGGAAAGUGCUAGUGUUGGAAGCUGCCAACAAACAGUGAGUGUGUGGGAGAGUUGCGCAUAAAACUAACUUCUUAAUCAGAAGAUUGAACACUAAGUGGGAUGUUGGUUUGGUUAUGUUAUUUUUUGUGCCCCAAGCGAACUAGGACUUAUAAUUCAGUGUGAAUUUGGGUGAAAUGUAAAUGAAAGCAAAAAAGAAACUAAAACGAGAAACAAAAUGUAAUCAUUUCAUGAUAGAGUCAAAACUACAAAUAUUUACAAAAGUAAAAUAUGGAGGAGUCCAUCGAGGUCUCUAGGGUCGGACUAAACAAAACAGGAAAUAUUGCCUUAUAGAGGUGAUCAAGGUAGUUGAAAUUGCACGUCAACCAAAUUGUAACAUGGGGUCGCAGAGCUAUAGAAGUUUUAGAUCUCAGGGGUCGUAGAUAGUAUUUGCUUUGAAGGUAAGCUUUGAGAUUGUAACUGAAGAGCUGGAGGUUUUGCUAAAGACCAAUUUGGAUUUGUACUGAAGAGCAGUUGGGUUGAUUAAAGAAUCAUUAAAGAAUCAUUGAGGUUCAUAUAAUCGUAGAGAUUGAAUUUGACGAAGAUCUUGAGCUUGAAGGCCUUUGGUUCUAUUUAUAGGUAGUGAAGAAGCAGCAUCCUCGACCUUUAACGCUGAGCUGAAGCACGGACAGAUCGGUCAUUUGGCUUUAACGAUUACUAUAAUUCUUGAUUGGUGGCCUUCAGCUGUGUCUUGUAGCGUUUCGCACAAUUGUUGCGGUGACAUCAGCAUGUUGGAUGACAUGUUCCUUGACAUUUAGGGAGGUGAAAUAUUUUCAGGCUUGGUUGUCUGCAUGCAGACACACUUCGGGGAGAAUCUUGUCCAAGCCCUUGAAUGGUUGAGAUGAAAAGAGUUGGUCGUCCGAGCCCUAAGAUAGGGUCCUAGCUUAGGUUUCGAAAUUGGUGGGCCAGAGUAGUGCGACUUUAUGUAAGAAAAAUUGUUUGAUCCCACAACAAACAUUUUUUUUUAAUUUAUGGCCCAAACAAUAAUAUAAUUAAAAGAAAUAGUAACAAGUAAAUGAGCCAACUUCUAGUCGAGACUUGUUCGCGUCAGGAAUUUCCGUUGGAGACGUUUCCUGGCCGACGAGCGCACAGCUCCCUGGGAGGUUGGCGCCGGCUGAGGGCUGCUGUUGGGCUCUGCUUCACUGUCGGGCUUUGUUGGGCAAGGCUCGUCGGGCAAGACUUGUCGGGCAAGGCUUGUCGGGCAAGGCUGGAAGAGAAGGACAACAUUAACUUUGACAGGUGCCUUUGUGGGGCCUUAGGUGUAGGCCUUGAGGCUCACAAUCAAGAUUAACUUCUAAGUAUUCAGGCGUGCCACUGCCAUCUUUAGCAUGGCAGAUGUAAAAUAGAUGUCGAGUUUUAGUUGUAUAUGUGUAUAUAUAUAUAUAUAUAUAUAUAUAUGCCCGAGAAACCGUGUUAGUUAUAACAGGUGCCUUUGUGGGGCCUUAGGUGUAGGCCUUGAGGUUUCCCAUCAAUAACUAAACCAGUGCUCGAACAUAUAAUAUUUGUUCCAUUGAUUGCAGAAGCCUUACAACUAUUAUACUUCUGAUUACCCGAAUCUGAGAGAUAGAACGAACCCAAAUAGGUGCCUUUGUGGGGCCUUAGGCGUAGGCCUUGAGGCUUCCCAUCAGAAUUCGUUCUCUAUACUCAAACGUCCUAGACCGCGGAACGGAAUGAAUCUGAAUAAGUGCCUUUGUGGGGCCUUAGGUGUAGGCCUUAAGGCUUCCCAUCAGAAUCAAUUCCAUGCUUAAGCGUUCUAUGAUAAUCAUAAUAUAAUAGAAAUAAAACUAAGGGGUAGGUCGAUUACUUGCACCCCAAGUAACUUCGGACUUCUUGUUUAUCAAGGACUAUUGUGGAUGGGUUAAGUCCACAUAAGGUUCUUUUUUAUGCCUUGAGGCCAAGGACUUUCAACAGAUCAAAUUUACAUGCCCGAGGGCUUAGAAUUUAGAUCUGGUUUGAACAAUGAAGAUAUAUUCAAAUCGGAUCUAAGUGCUGAGAGAUUCUUUUAAUAGUCAUCUUACUAGAAAUAACUUGAAUACAAUUGGAAGUAUACAACAUAUUACUAGUCUAAUGAAUGAAAAGACAAAAACAAAGAUGGUCGGGCAAGGUUUAACCUUGUCGGGCAAGCCUGGUCGUCUUGCAGGUUCCUAUCUUUGUGGCUUAUCAAGGGUCUGAGAGCUUUAGAGAGAGGUAAGGAUAGGAGUUUACAAAGAGAAAUCGAUACUACAGCAAGGUUGAACAGGGUAGUAGAGCUAUUACAAAGGUUUGAGUGAAGGUUUAUCCCGAGAAGGAUGAAGGCUUGGGCUGACUACAGCUUCGUUUUGAAGGUAAAUCUGGCUUUGAGCAGAGUUUGUGCUUGCAUUUGUUUGUUUGUUUGAGUGUCCCUAAUCCUGAUUUCUCUUUCUUCUUUUAUAGAUAACUCAGCUUAGCCUCUUGUAGCAGCAGCCUUGCCUGAAUGCAACUUGAGAGGCAGUGACUCAUCAGCUAUUUUACUUGUUCUGCCAUUAUAAAGUACUUUAUGGGUUGUAUAGCUGGUCAGUCUAUACCACUUGGCCUUUGGGUAGGUGAGCAAGUGGUCUUCAUGAGCUGCACUAAGUCAAAAAAGCCCUUUUCUGUUUUCUGGGCUUUGGCUGGGCUUAGGCCGAUUCUUCCUUUAGGCAUCCUUUUGGGCCAGCCCCUUUCCUGAGCCCAAAGUUCAAGUUUUGAUCCAAACAAGACUAACACUAAUAUGAAGACGUUGGGAGAAUUGUGAACUAUCAGAAACUAGUAUGAGCAUACAAAUCAAUGUAGAAGUCAAGGAUUGAAAUGCGAUUGAUAAUAUAAUCAAUGUAGGAGUCUAAAGUGCGCGUUACUUAUACACUAUAACCAUUGAAAUCAAACUUGGACUGAUCUCAUUUAUUGGGUCUUGUGUGUUAUAUUCACCACACUACUAAUUAAACGCUCAUAAAUUAGUUAAGUUGGCAUUAUUUUUUUAGCAUGAGUCCUUUUGAUUUGAAAUUCCUUUUUUUUUUUUACUUUUUUAUCAAACGAUAGAUUUAGUUAGAUUAGAUGUUGUAUUAGUUAUUGAUAAAAUUUGAAUCUACGCCGUCAUGCAAUGGCUCAACACAUUUCCUUUAAUUUGAUAUUAUUCGCAAUGUGCUUCUUGAAAAAUAUAACUCCUCUUGAUUAUCAAUUAUACAACUACCAUUUCUCUUAAUAAAAAGAGAACAUAUGUCUCAUGAUCAUUGGUUGUCAUAAUCACUGCCACGUCAACCAAAGUUAUUAAAAUAUUUGUUAGAUGAUAAGUGAUUUGUUCGUUGGUUAAUUAAUUACAAGUAAGCUUCUAUUGUGAUUAGUAUAUUAGGAAUUGCAACUCACAAAUGUAAUCAGUCAGUCAUCUUUUUAGAAAUACAUAAACCUCAGUUCUUCUCUAAACUUUCCUCUAGCUGUUCAUCUUUCUCAAUUCUUCAUUGUUCUUAGGUUUUUCUUCAAUGUAGUUAACAACUAUUUUCUCAGGUGAGUUCUAGACGCAGCUAAAAUAUUCUAUAGGCAAAAAUUUGUAAAGCUAAUAGCUUUUUGUCUUUUAUUGGCCCCAGUAUAACAUGUCAAAAGCAGAACAACUUUAAUAUGAAUUGCAAUAAUUUCUUCCACGAAACUUCUUCAUGCCCUUUUAAUGGUAAAUGAAGCUUCUUCGCUCUUGCUCAGAACUUAGAUGAUUAACUUGUUAGAAACGAAAGCUUUUUAACAUUGAGAAUUUCGUCGUGAGCCCUUAAACACGUCAAAGUGCUUUGUCCUAUAUUCUUCAUUCACGAACCUUCUUUCUUGCUCACAAGUCAACAUUCUAAAGCUACCAAAGCGCAAUAUCAAAAGCACUCCGGUAGUAGUAGUAAGAUCAUUUAUAAACAAAGCAAAAUAAGAUAGGUCUGAGAUGAAGUAAGUGCACGUAGGAGUGUUUGGGUUUCUUAUGCAUGUUGUUUAUGCUAAAUUUUUGAGGAAUCUCGACGAUACUAGAGAAAAAUUAAUUCAACUUAACCAAUAAACAACACAACUGGGGGAUAUAAAAUGUUACGGUCUUAACCUCGUCCUAAUUAAAAUUUAGGGUACCUCAUACCGAUCAGGAAUACUAUCUUCAACAGAUAAAACAGCCGUCUGAUUUCUAAUCCAUCGUCUUCAAUUCCAGUUAGCCAAUUUACUUUCUUCUUUUUUUUUUGUCAGAAAAAAGGUUGUUAGUUACCCUCACACAAGCCUCAAAAUUAAGUUAACUUCCACAUUUGGGAUUAAUUACAUUUUCAUAGACACCAACCUUUUCUUUCCUCUGUAACUUGUCCCGUGACAACAAUAAAAUGCUGCAAACCAUAAUGCAAAUCUCAUUACAUUGAACUUAACUGGAAAAAAAAAAUUCCAGUACGACUAAAUUUAGAACUAAUUGAUUUGUCAUAUAUAAUCUUCCUGUCACAACAUUUUUGUUUCUCACACAUGUAUACUCAUAUGCAUGUUGUAAAAACGAGUUUAUCCAUAAUGCAUGUGCAAGUUAAUCUCAAUUAAUAGAAAAUGAGCUAGGGUUUGGUUAUAUAAUUUAAGAAGUACAAAUAUUCGACUGUACAAUGGGCAUCCUACCCUCCAAUUGUAGGAAUUGUCUCAUUUCGUUCACGAGUAAUGAUAAGGAGACCAACUAUUUAGACCAAAUUUUAUAAACUAUAUGACAUGGUUCUUGAUGAUUGAAUUAUUAUUUGAGUGUUAAUUAACAUAUUUAUUUUCUAUUGAUGGCAUAUCAUUUGAUUUAUGAAUUUGGUCUAAAAAAUUAGUUUCCCUAGCAUUAUUCAGUCAUUCCAUAAUUCAAAAUGUUCGACUCCCAAAGAAACCAAUAUUAUUCCAGCAGAUUUAUGUCAAAGUAUGUAAUUUAUUUGACGAUAGAAUUAUAAUUUGCAUCUUGGACACUACUGUAUCAUAAAUUAAGUAACGAUAGAGAAAGAUGGUACUUAAUAUAUCUUUUUUGGAUGAGGACCCUCGUAGGAUUCUUAUAUGGGAACUUUAACGAAAAGCACCCGGUACGGUUCACUUUAACGAAAAACCACAUUUUUACACUAAAAAGUCAAUCCUGGUACUAUUCAUUUUACCCUUUAUUUUGUCCUUAUCAUUAAAACUCAAAGUUUUCAAGCCCUUUUUAUUAGUUUUCUUUUCUUAUAUCAUAGUCAUUCAUCAUACAUUGUGCGAUCAGUUUUCGUUAGGUACUAUUUAUGUUUAAUUUUAAAUAAAAAUAUUCAAAAUGAUUUAUGUUCGCACGAUUUACGAUAAACAAUUAGGAUACAAAAAUCCCUAGGAUCCCCACCAUUUAGAUCGGGAUGGGAUCCAAAUCCAUCUUUUCUGUUAGAGGUAAUGGGAAGAUGCUGUUGCAGUGAUUAUUUCAAUCAUUGUGCCUCACUGUAGACAAUUAAAUUAGUUUAAUUUUUUCUCAAUAAGCAAACAUACACCAUACAAUAUAAUGCAAAAGAGAAGGAAGAAAAAUUAAUCCACUCAAACAAAAGGAUUAAACUUUCAGCUAAUUAAAGUCGACUUCUUGAUUAAUGCUGCGCAGCAUUUGAUUAACAGCUGCUGCUAUUUCAUCCACUGUAUUGAGCAGGCACCCUUCUUCAAUCUGUCCCAAUUCACAACAAAAAUUAAUUUGGUUUCUAAAAUUAUAAAGACAUAUAUAGUGAAUUUAGUAAAGAAACAAAAUGAUAAUUUGUUCUUAUUUGGACAAUUUUUUUUAAUGCAUGAACUCGAAGGAUUCACAUCGGACCCACUUGAUCGAUGCAUACACACUUACACAGUGCAAAACCAAAUGACAAAAAUGUAACUUGUUCUUAUUAAUUUGUAGACAAACAUUUUAGUGUAGAGUAAUUCGAGAGAGACUAAAUUUGAAGAUUAAAUUUGCAAACUAAAUGAUGUGUUAUCAAUAGGAAUAAACACAUUUAUCAACAUUUAAAUAAUAAAUCAAUCAUUAACUUUCAUGUCCUUUAGUUUUUAAAAUUUUAUCUCUAAAUUUAGUCUCUCUAGCAUUACCCUUUUAGUGCAUAAACUUGUAACAUUCCAUCGUCACAUCCCACUUGCUGCAUUCACAGAGCAAAACCAAAUGACAAAAAUGCGGUGCGGAAAAUAAUAUAAUAAGACGGUGUGAACUGAUUAGUAGGUAAAGUAAUCUUCUUUUGUCCAUUAAAUAGCCUGAGAUUAAAAUCCAACGUUAUUAAAAGCCUUGUGUUCCCGUCACUUCCUUGUUUACUAUACUCCUUUUAUUGUUAAGAAAACUAAUGAAAAAAGUUUGAAAACUUUGAGUUUUAACGAUAAGGACAAAAUAAAAGGUAAAAUGAAUAGUAUUAGGAUUGACUUUUUAAUGUAAAAAUAUGAUUUUUCGUUAAAAUGAACAGUAUUAUGAACUUUUCGUUAUAGUUCCCUUCAUUGUUUUUCAAUAAAAAAAAAAAACUCCUGCAAUUGUUGAUAUGGUUAAUUUUUGUAACCGUUAUUCGCACUCCAAACAUUUAAUUGUAUACUCAAAACAAUCUAUAUUUAAAAAAAAAAAAUACACUUAUGAGAAAUUCACGAUGUAAUUUUUAAAGUCACAAUAAUUAUUCUUUUUCUGUCAAAUUGAUAUGUUUUCUUGAUAGGACAAUAUUAAUUAUGAAAAGGUAAUGCAAUCAUUUGAAAAGACUUGGCUGCAAAACUGUAAAACUAAUUACCUUAACGCUAACCGAGUAGAGGACCAUUUCAUCAGCUGUGGUGACAUUAAGGUGAAGAACACUGAGCCUAAGGCUUUGAAACCCAGCCACCAUCUUCAACAGCUGUCUAGGCCUUUUCUUGGAAAGUAUCUUCAGGUUGGCAUGGCUGUCCACCAUGGUGACUUCUAUGUCUGCUGCUGCUGCUGCCCACUGGUUGUUGUUAAACUGAGUCGUAUUCAACUCGUUCGCUUGGAGACCAGCUGAUUGGUUACACUGUGUUGCUCGAGUUGAGAAUUGUGGGAAAGUGAAGAACUCUGCCAAAGGUUGUUGCUUGCUCCUCUUGUUGCUGUCCAUCGACUGCAAAAGCUGCUCUAGCUCCUUCACAAAGUUUAUGGCACCCCCAAUAAUUGAUGCUUGGUCACCCUGUAACAAAUAUUCAUAACAAGAUUAAUUUGCUGCAAUCCCAAAUCAUAUGGCUUUAUUAUGAAAUUUUUACAAUGGUUAGGUUUAAUCCAAAAAAAAAAACAUUUCAAUCUAAAGAAAAUGUAGAUGCAAAAAUCUUAUCACUGAAUUGGUUAAGCGCGUUUACUCUCGCACUUGAGGUUCUGUGUUCAUGUAUCUCCCUCCCGUAAUAUCACAUUCGUAUAAGGAAAUAAAAAUUAAAACAUAUGCAGCUAUAUCUGGCUAGGAACCCAAUAAUGAAUUUUAUUUUUGUGAAUCAAAUUUAAUUAAACUAACCCUUUGAGCAUAAGAUUGUGGCAUCAAUGAUCUGAGGACAGCAAGGUACUCAUUCAUUUGUUUGCGCCUGUUGCGCUCUACAACAAUGUGCGUCAUCCUCUGGUUCUCAAUUUCCUCCUUGUUCUUGCUGCUCUUGGUGCGAUGCCGUUUGCGGCGAUUCGUUGUUGCUGGUGGUGGCGGGGGCGGUGGUGUUUCCAUGGCAGAGAGGUGUCCUGGUGGGCAAGAUUGAUCAACUGUGCAAGCCUCAGGUGAGGAGUUAGGAUCCCAAUCUUUCACAUUUUGCAAAAGUGAAGGAAAUGAUGAGCAGUAGUCCCAAUUUUCAUUGAUGCCUUGUUGGUCUUGUAAGCUGAAGUCACUGCCCCAAGAACCACCUCCAUUAAAAGAGUAGUAGUCUUUGCAACCAAAGCCAAAUGGGUACUCUUGUGGGUAAAUCACAGCUUCUAAUGCCAUGAUUUGAUCACUCCAAUAACUUUUUAACUACUGCAGUAUCUGUUUAUAGUAGUGAGUGAAAGUGUACGAGGGGCUUUUGUGUGGUUCAAAAGGGAAAAGGAAGUUAGAAGGGUGAGGAGGUUUUUUCUUUCCUCCAAAAGAGAACCCAAAUCAAAGAAAUUUUUAUUAGGGCUGAAGUUAGCUAUGCCAAAGCACUACACCCAAAAGACCAAACAAACACACCCUUUUAUCAUCUCUAAAUAAGAAACUCGAUCUGGUUUCUUUUUAAAGGAGCUUUAGCCAAGAAAACGAAAAGCUACAUUGUGUUGCACGUGAGAUUUUGUGUAGACUAGUCACUCCACCAGAGGUUAAAGAGAUUCUCUUUUGCUUCUAUGGCCACUUACAUGAAAUAUGUUCACUAUCACAUUGAUAUCCUGAUCUAAAAAUACACUCAUAUGAAAAACAACUACGCACAAUAAUACCCUAAAUCAAACCUUACGUGAUAGUGAACUUUUUCUAUGUAAGUUCUUUACCCAGAAAUAACAACUAUAUUGGUUAGACUAAAUAAAUUACAAAAACAUUUUAUUUGUAUUCGAGCUACUGAUUGCACUACUGAUUACACCUUGUACAAAAAUGAAUUUGAAUGCGUAAAUAAGUACAAUCAAUCGUCUAUACAAACAUGCAAGGACCGAGUGAGUUAUGACUCUAACCAUUUUACGUUAUAAACUUAGGAUGCAUCAAUGGCUAGAAAAAUCCAAAAGCUCACUUGUGUAGAUAGAUUACUGAUGUACGUCUCAUCCUUAUGAGUUUUAUGAAUAGUACAAGUAAAAUUUGUAUAGCCAACCGACAAACUCUCAAACAACUAUUUAGUAUAGUGCUAUUUUUCUACAUAUAUAAGUAAAAGGUCUUACUUUCUCGAUGAUAAUUUAUUCUCUCUUCUCUUUUAGUAUAAAUAUAUUGUAGUUUAAACAAAAUAAUAGAAAAAAAUGAAUUUUAACGAAAAGCUCCCGGUACUGUUCACUUUAACGAAAAACCACAUUUUUACACUAAAAAGUCAAUCCUAAUACGAUUCACUUUACCCUUUAUUUUGUUCUUAUCAUUAAAACUCAAAGUUUUAAAGCUUUUUUCAUUAGUUUUCCUUAGAAAAAAAACUCUUAAGCACCUCUAAUGGAUUAUUUAAAAAGAAAACUAAUGAAAAAGACUUGAAAACUUUAAGUUUUAACGAAAAUGACAAAAAUAUGUUGUAAGUGAAUAAUACCAUGAUUGACUUUUUAAAGAAAAAAAUAUGAUUUUUGUUAAAGUAAACAGUAUGUAGAGUUUUUCGUUAAAACUUCUUUAUUUAAAUUAAUUAAAGAAUUGGAAUAAUCCAACAGUGGGACCCUUUUAAGAAGACAUUUUGUUUGUAUGGGCCCAAAAGCAUAUCCCAUUUCAUGAAUAGAACGCCGUAUUAAACGGUGAGGACAGUAAUCUCCCUAUUCAACUCACAUUGUACGCACUGAAACGGGGAUAAUUUAGUCUUUUACCAAGCUAGUACUGUACUUUUUUCCUAAUUUUAUGAACAGAAUAUCUAACCAUGGUUUCAUUUAGCAAUAAUAUGGUCGGAUACUUGGACAUAGAAAAAGAAGAAGAUGACGAAAAGCUGGUGAUGUCUAAAGAUUCUGAUAAAGAUCUACAAACAGAGAGAGAUAGAGAUAGAGAAGGAGAUAAAAACAACACACAGCAGCUUAGUUCAGGUGUCGGACAUGCUCAGAGGAAUCCAUGUGACCUCACUAAUAGCCACUCUGUAAUCAUCUCCGACGAGGACUUAUAAUGUGUCCAUCACCCUUUCCCAAAAACCCACUGUACCAUUUACUGUUCUUGUGCUUUCCUUUGUUUGGCUCUCAAUUUAUUAUUAAUUCUGUUUCGUAGUCGACAUUGAAUUUGAGGUAGAGCACAAUAUUAGAAACUCUCGAAAGUAAAUAUAAACUCUUUUAAUCACUUGAAUUAUAAAUCUACGUUAUUUUAAAUACAACUACACUAACAAGAAGGGUAGGGAUGAACGCUGUCAACAACCUGAUUUACAUGUAACCUCGUGAAUAACAAAUAUCGAUGUAUUCAAAAAAAAAAUAUCUUUGUUCGUUGAAUUAUGUAUUGAAUUAUUCCAGUAUUUAGCUCUAAUAACAAGAGUAGGAUUAUCUCUCUCUCAUCUUUCUCUUCUUCUCUCUUCUUCUAUUUAAAGAAUUAUGAUAAAGUCACAUAAAUAUCCUGUUUUGAAUUUUUUUUAUAGAGGAAAAGACAAAAACAAAAGUGUGAGAAUAGAAGAGGAGAUAAUUUUACUUCAUUUAACAAUCUUGCCAUCCUUCCAUUAAUUGAAUUGUCUUCCUUUGUUAAAUCUUUUAUUUAUUUUUUUUGUAAAUUUUGUAAAGAAUGAUUAACCCUCUUUUGAAGAAGAAAGGACCAUUGCACCUAGGAAAACCACAAUCCCGUCCCCAACCUACUAUAUUUUAUUAAUAAUUUGAAGAAAAAAAAAAGUAAAAUAAGCGACUAACAAUCAGAUUUAACAUAUAAUAUUCUCCCUUUUUUGUUGCAUAUCAAACCGUUAUAUAGUGAAUGUAUCAAGUAAAUAUAUGUACCGUAGCCAAAUAUUAAGAAAUCUAAAUUGAUCAAAGGUUUUCAGAAAUCUAUUUGAUCCUCCUAAGCAAUAGGAGAUGUUAAUCAAAGGUUUUCAGAAAUCUAAAUUGAGGGCUGGUCAAGUAGCACGCCAACACCUCACCAAACAAAACACCCCUACCUUUUCAUGUCUUAAUAUGUAUUAGGCUUCGUCAGUUGUGGAAUACAGUCGAAUCUAUGAGGGUCCUUAUUAGCACAACUCCACCUAACGAAACACCAAAUUAAUUCAGAUUAUGUUUGCUAAUUAUCCCCAUAUGUUCCCUAAUGGCAUGUGCCCCAAGCGCAAAGUACGCUUACCAGAGCCUUUAAAUUUACGCAAGUGGCAACAAUGUACAAGCUGGUUUAUAUAUUAAUCGACUCUAUGUGGUGGUUUACGCAACUUAUAUAUUUGGUCAGAUAUCUGGUGUUAAACCAAUUAGAAUAUUUGUUUGUUGACUUGUUCAUGAAACCAUGGAAUAUGGGACCUCAAAUUCUGGAACCUGCUAAUUCCUAGUAGUUCUUUCUUUGCAAUUUAAUUCGUUCGGGUUCCCGCAAUAUUGGCUGGAAGGGUAUAUAUAUGUUUAUCUUACUAUAAAGAACUAGCUAGUUGCGCGUUUUAUAAAAUACUAGCCUUCAUGCACGCACUCACGUGCAUGCAGAAGACAUUUUUUGAACCAUGACUUGCUAUGCUCGAUUUAUACGUUUUAAAUGUAUUUAUAUGCGUUAAUUGCUUCAAUAAUUUUUUUUUUUUGACAAAAAGAAAGUCAAAUAUUUGAAGUAACUGAAUAAUAUUCGAACAUGCUAAAAGAAACCCCUUAUAAACCAAUCAAAACAGUUAAAUCCACAUAACAAAAUCAGUCUUUCAAUUUCCAUCUAUAUUCUAUUGAAUUAACAUUAAGAACAGAGAAAAUAAUAUUUACUAAACAACUGAUUGAAUUACAUUAUUACUAGUCCAUUGUGAGAAUAAGUCCACCCCACCCCCUUAGUGUAGAAAACAUCGUUUGUUCAAAGAAAAUAAAAAAAUUGAUCAUUUGACAACUAAUUGAAUGACAUUAUUAUGCACGUGCGAAAGGUCAUUUUUUUAUAAUUAGCACUACGUGCCUCUUAAGUAUUUAAAAAUAGAGAAAAUAAUACAACUGAUUGAAACACAUUAUUGUGUGUGUGUGUGAAAGACCUUUUUUUUAUCACCAGUGGUACACGACUCUUAAGAUGUUUUGAAUGUGCUUUAAAAUAGAGAAUCUAAUAUUUAAUAAACAACUUAUUGAAUCACAUUAUUGCUAACCCAAUGUGAGGCUAAGCCCACCCCCUCAUUUUUAGUAUAGAUAAUAUCGUUUGUUCGAAAGAAAAAAAAUAAUUAUUUGACAACUAAUCGAAUCACAUUAUUAUGCGCGUGCAAAGGACAUUUUUUAUAACCAGCACUACGCACCUCUUAAGAUGUUUUGAACGUGUUUAAAAAUAGAGAAAAUAAUAUUUAAUAAACAACUAAUUAAAUCAUAUUAUUGCUAGCCUAUUAUGAGGUUAAGCCGAUCCAUUUUUCCCUUAGUGCAAAUAUCGUUUGUUCGAAAAAGAAAAAAAAUAAUCAUUUGACAACUAAUUGAAUUACAUUAUUAUGCGCGUGCGAAAGAACUUUUUUAUUACCGGUACUAUGCGCCUCUUAAGAUGUUUUAAACGUGUUUAGAAAUAGAUAAAAUAAUAUUUAAUAAACAAUUAAUUGAAUUACAUUAUUACUAGCCUAUUGUGAUGUACUAAUUAAAAAAAAUUGUACCAAAAAAACUGUACAAAAAGAAUUAAUUAUUAAAAAAAUACUGUCUAUAUGACAAAAAUACCCCUGUAUUAUUUUGGAUUCCUUUUGAACAUUUUUGUUUGGAGGGGCAUUUCUGUCUACUUUUUUUUGUAUAGCUUGUGAUCCCAAAAAUACUGUUCACAGCAGUGUUGGCUUUAUAUAUAGAGAUAUUUUGAAGUAUUGUGAGUGUGAAACUGAAAAGCAGUAUGUUGAAAGUGUGGUUACUAAUUAAUUAGUUUAGAAACAACAAAAAGUAUUACUUACAUUAUAGUUUAUUUCUUUACAAUUAUCUUAAACCUCCCAUUUAAGACGGUGGUGGAGGGUGGCGAUGAGGGUGGGUGGGCAGCGAUAGGUUGGGUUUGGGGGUUGGUAUGGUGUGACAACGGUGGUGAGGUUUGGUGGUGGCGGUGCCGAAUGAUGGCAGGUGGUGGAAGAUGGAGGCAGUGGAAUUUGGUUGCGCAUGUUAAUGUAGGUUUGGGUGAGGAAGAGUAGACGACGUUAUUUUUACAAGAAAAGUGUUACGAGAAUUGAAGAUUUCAAUAAAUCUAUGUGCCGCAACCUUUGAAAAAUAUAAAUAGGUCAUCGCUUUAAAAAUAUGCAAAAUGUCAUUUGUCUUCUUUCUUUAUGUGGGACCAUAAUUUUUCAAGCUCAGAAUAUGAGUACAUCAGUAGUCUGGUCAUGGACUCAACUUCUAUUUCGAAGUGCUACAAACAGAUCAGUUGAUGCCACCAUUAUCAUGUUCCAAAUAAGUGGUCAAAGUUUGUGGACUUCAUUGAAAUUGACCAUGCUUAUUCUGCAAGAUACGAAAACCUGAUCUAGAAUGGAAUUAGCCAGAUUUCUUAUAUUCUUAGAGAUGCUUACAGUACAACACAAGUAAUCACACUCUUAAGAAGAUGCAACAUUUACUCCUAAGUAUCCUUUGGGAUUCUCACAAUUUAAUACAGAUUCUAUAUCCUAAAAGGAUUGUUUCUCAACUGGUAUAAAUACAUCAUCAUAAGGUUCAUUUCUGGUAGCGCAAUCGCACUCUCUAUUCUCUAGCCACCACUUGAGUCUCAUAUCUUUGCUUACUAACUUGGCCGUUAGAGAGUUUGCUUGGCACUCCACCGAUCCUAAGGUUGCUUGUAGUUGUUAUUGUUUUAUAGGUAGUCGAGUUUGUGCAUCUCCACCUCUCGCGACUGUCCGCGAAUUUGAUUCCAAGCUCCAGGAGGAAUAAUUUAUUGCCUAUAAUGUUGAAGUAGGCAAAUAUUGCCUAUACCGUUGGAGCAACGUUUUAUCUAUGUGCCUCAUCAAAAUAUAUGAAUUUAACGACCCAUUUACCUACACCAUUAGAGACGCUCAUGUUAAAGCUCUCGGAAUUUUGUACCAUAUAGUCUCGUUCAAAUCCCAUCCAUCAAGUUUUUAUGGUGCAUUCGUAAUUAAUUUAGCCUAGAUUCUAUAGAACUUCAAAGUUUCUCAUCAAAACGCACUAUAGGUUCCAAAAUGUUAUGAUAGAUAUACUUCUUCAACCUAAUAGUACUGCGUGUCGAGAUCAAAUAUCUCACCACCGCUUAGUGUUGUUUAGAAUAGUUAUAUUGCUUGUGAUAAAAUAAACAUGUAUAUAAAUGGUCAUACCAGGAAAGAAUAUCCCUAAUAGCCUACUUAAUCUGAAACUAAAACAAAAUAAGAAAUAAAACAUAACUCCUAGUGUUUAGGGUUUCGCAUAUUUUCUUUUCAAAUUUGAGCAGCUUUAUUUUCUUAUUUUUAUUUAUAGGAAAUAACUCAAUGUGUAUGGGGAGGUUAUAUAAUUCAGUAAAUUAAGCCUACAACACGUUAUCAACACGCUCUUGAUGCUGCGCUAAAGAUAGUUUAUUCUUCAAUCAGUGGAGUAUUACGCUUUAAUCAUUCUUUUUAUGAUUAAUUUAUUAUUUUAUUGAAUUGAUUUACAUGCUAUUUAUUCAAUUUAUUUUUUGUUGAACGUGAUACAGCGCAUUGGAGAUACAAUUCCAGCUUUCAGAGAAUGAUCUUCUACAAAUUCAAAGGCUUAGUUGUUUUCUGCCAAUCAGGUUUUUUUAAAAUAAAUUAAGAAUUUGAAACGACCUUGAGCAUGAAACAUUCCCCAUGAUGCAUGAACCCCCUAUAUUUAUAUUUUCCUUUCAAUUAUAUAUAUUGCAUAUGUGUUCAUAUAUUGACAGAGCAUCAAAAUAAUUUAGAAGCAAUUAGGGAUUUCGAACCCUAGAUGUCGAAAAAAAUGUAAUUAAUUAAUUUCUGGGUUGAGUUGCUCCACGUCGUGCAUCCGAGUUGAGUUGGUUGCUCUACAGCCACACCACCACCUUGGACGAUGUCAUGGACCACUAGUGGGCUUGCUACAUCUGCACAGACAACCAGGCCUUUAGCUUGGGUUGGGUUCCUACACGAGCCUGAAGCCACUGUAGCUCACCCUUCUUUUUCUUUCUGCAAUUUUUUUUUCUCUCUCUCUAUUCUUCUUGGCAAUUUCAUAUCUAGAUAAGGAUUCUUGGUGUACGAAAUUGCGAAAGCUUCUGGUUUGCAGCUUGUCGGGGUUGCAGCAUCUGGGUUUGUCGAAUCAAGUCUGGGAUGCACCGCCUACCACCGCCCAACGUGCCGCCUAGCCUGCUUAGCAGCUGUCUAGGCGGCCCACCGAUUUCAUGCAGCAUUUUACCCCAAAUCGCCACGGGACGACCACGCCUAGCACUUAGGCCGAUUUUUAGAACACUGGUAACUAGGAACCGGAUACUAAUUUUUCCUAGUUUAUAUCUAAAAUUUAGAAUAUUUGACAACUUAAUAUAGCAAAAUAAGAAAAAUGAGUUUCCUAAUAGUCCAUCACAAGUCCUCAAAAUUAUGUUAUGAGAGUAGGAUUGAUGGAGAAGAAUAUGAAAGAAUAAGAGAUGGUUUGAUAACAAUUUCAUUUUCAAUUUUUAAUUUUUAGUUUCAUUUUUCACUUUUUUGAAAACUGAAAUUAUGUUUGGUAACUAUAUUAAGAAGUUUUCGGUUUCCAACAAAUUGAAAACGAAAAACCAAAAAGUGAAAACUCAAAACUAAAAAUAGGUAUCAGACAAGAUUUCGGGUUUCAGAUUCAAAAAAGUGAAAACAAAAACUAAAAAUUAAGGGUGGUGCUAUCCACACAUCUCUUUUUACUUCCCAUGCACUUUUAUCAAUUGAAGAAGAUCAAAUGACAUAAAUUAAUAAGGGGUGUGUGAGAGGUAAAAAGAAAUAUAUAAAUAACACCACCCAAAAUUAAAAACGAAAUGGUAUCAAACAGCCCCUACGUGAAUAACAGAAAUGUGAUAAUUACGUAUUGUAAUCAGUGGGUGAAUACGACUCUCUUUUUAAAGUUUCUGUGAAGUAUUUGAUUUGUAUUACUUUUUCCUCAUAUGAUAAAUGAUUAUGUUCUAGAACAUAAAUUGAUCCAUGACACAUUAUGUUAAUAAAUCAAAUGUUGAGAAAAAAGACGGCUACAUAUCGAAAAGAGUAUAUCUUGUCGAUGCUUGAUUUUCUACUAAGUUAUAAGAAAUAUUUUUAUAAAGACCUAAUUAUGAAAGAAACAAAAAAGUAAUCUUGAACCUAAUAAAAUCAUGCAUAAUCCUUAUCAUAAUUGAAAAUCCCAAGCUGUAAAAUACCAAAACAUAUAUAUAUAUAUAUAUAUUAUGUAUAUAUUUUACAGUCAUAUUUAGAAUAAGAAUGUGACUUUGUAAAUACUAGUGUAUUUAGAGAUAUCUUUUAUAUUCCUUUUAGCAGUCUAAUUCCUAUUAGAGUUGAAAUUCCUAAAGGGGUAAGGAUAUCCUACUACUAUAAAUAAAGGCACAAUGAAGGUGAUACAAUACACACCUCACAAUUAAAUCUCUCUUUUCUCUCUCUCACUACCACUAGCCUCAUUCUCUCUAUUCCCUUAGAAUAGCUCAGUUAGAUAGGCCUACACACGUUAUCAACACGCUCUUGCAGAAACUGAGGAACUAACAGAUUGUAUGAGGAGGCUAUCUUCUACAAAAUUCAAAAGCUCUUAUUUGUUUUCUGCUAAUUAGGUACGCUUAAAAUAAAGGAAGAUAUUUGAAAUAUCCACGAAGUAUGAAAACAUUCCCCAUGAUGCAUGACCCCUCUAUGGGUUAUGGUUUUUCGAAUCCAAUACUAAUUUUUGGCAUUUUAAAUAAUUUUAACCCGAAUAUUAUUAUUAUUUUUACUUCCACGAUUGACCCCGUUUAAUCCCGAUCUAUUAAUUAAAAGCGAUAUGCAGUCCAUUAAUCUGAUAAUUAAUCUAAAAUUAUUGACUUGAAUAUCACUUUUGGACAUUAACGAUUCAAUAAUUUAUUUUUAUACUUUAAAUCGUUGACAUACUUUCGUAGUCCCGAAGCUCUCACACUUAAGUUCCCGAAGAAACUCAAAUCCAUUACACUUAAAUCAGCAUAUUGCAUUAUAUGUUUCGUGCAGGAACCUUUCCCUUAUGAACUAAUUGUUCCUAAAACUAAAUUGAACAUGUAGUUUCAUAUUUAGUGCCUUUGAAACUCGAAGUUUUCAUUCAAAACUCACCACAUGAAACAUGCAGUUUUCAUGCAUAAAUUAAACCAAUACAUGUCUAUAGAACUCGAAUGUUCUAUGAUGUAUGUCUAUGGGAUUACCACAUGACUAACCAUGUUUUUGUUGUAACCUUUGUUUUAGGAACAUGUCGAACUUGAACAAGCUUGAUUUCACCGCUCUGGAAAUCUCUAGAAGAAACUACCUGAAGUGGGUUAAAGACGUGAAGCUCCAUCUUACUAUAAAGGGUAUUAGAGCCACCAUCGAGGCACCUACCGACGACAAACCUGUUGACGAAGCUCAGAAAGCUACUGCAAUGAUCUUCAUUCGAAGACACAUCCAUGAUGCUUUGCAGAUCGAGUACCUUGUUGAGGAGGACCCACGCACCCUAUGACUCACUCUGGUCGACUGUUUCGAUCACUAGAAAGACAUCUACUUGCUUGAAGCAAGACAUGACUAGCAGGAUCUUUAUUUCCGAGACUUUAAGUAUGUGAAUGAAUACAACUUUGAAGUUUGUAGAAUCUGAUCACUGCUGAAGUUCUGUAAAGUGGAACUAACCGAAUUAGAUCUCCUAAAGAAGAUUUAUUCCUUUCAUGCCACCAAUAUUGUGCUGCAAUAAAAAUAUAGGGCACAAAAAUUAACCAAAAUUUCAGAUUUAAUCUCUGUUCUUCUCGCUAAAAAGAAAAAUAAGCUUUUGAUGAAGAAUUAUCAAGCUCAACUGACUGGCUUGAACGUCGUCCCUGAAACGCAUACGACCAAUUCUAGCAUCCACAAAUGACAUAAGAAUCGUUGUGGUCGUGGCAAUGGGUGGCAAGCCCCACUACGAGCCCAAGGUCCACAGAGUCAAGGCCCACCCAAAGGAGGAAAUGUGACCCAAUAACGCCAACCCUUUGCCCCUAAGGCUCCAAACUUCAAAAACAAGGGAAAAGCUCCUGUUCAAUUGGCUUCCACUGAAAUGGACAUGUGUUACCAUUGUGGAUCAAGGGAUCAUUGGUCACGUGUAUGCCGAGUUACCCCCGAGACUAUUGCCAAAUAUUAUUCCUGUCGUGAGUUUAACUUUGCACAUGUGGAUCGUCCAGAAGAUGCUACUACAUCCAUGAAGAUAUCAGAUUUUUAGGAAGCAUCAGUUCCUAUGGAAGAAUAAAUUGUAAACAUGUUUUUAGGGUGUUUUACCCUUAUUGGUCAAACCCACUAGGAGUGGUCAGACCCUCCCCCCCUAUUUUUCUAGGUUUAUGGUUUAAUUUUGAACAAUUUUCUAAGCAUUUCGAAUAAUUUGUUUGGUUUUGGUUUGUUUUGAAUUAUGGAUUGUUAUUUGAUGGAUAUUAUUUCUUGAAUUGCUUAAUUUAAUAAAUAGACUUGUAUUUAUGCAAGUGACCAAUUUAAUCAAUUUCUUUCUAGAUAUGUCUAGUGGAGAAGUUAGUUGUCUGGCUGAUAGUACUACCAUGCACACCAUUUUGUGUGAGCGACACUAUUUUACUAACUUUAUACCUAAGAAAGAACCUCUGACAACUCUCUCAGGCCCAUCCAACUUGAUUGAAGGAUACAGAAAGUCCCGUUUCAUGUUGUCUAAUGGUAUAGUCUUAACCAUUAAAGAGGCCUUCUAUUCUCCACGUUUCGGAAAAAACGCUGUUGAGUUUUAGAGAUAUUCGAGAUAAUCAAUAUCAUAUUGAAACCAUUGAAGAUAAUGGUUUUGAAUUUCUUCGUAUCACUUCGUACGAAUAUGGCCAAAAGCGUAUUCACGAGAAGUUUGAACAUCUCCCGAAUGGGUUGUACAUCAUAAUCAUUUACGGCAUAGAAGCCCACCAUGUGGCUGGCCUUGUGCCUAAGUUCCAGAACACUUUGCUGCUUUGGCAUGACCAUUUGGGACAUCACAGAUGUGACAUGAUGCGCAGUAUCAUGAAAUUAUCACAUGGGUAUCGGUUACCUCCCUACGUUAGAUUUCCACCAUGCAAAGCGUGUUCUGUGGGGAAGUUGAAUACUCAACCCUUGAUUACAAAGAUCAUUCACGACCCCCCCUAAAUUUCUUCAGAGGAUUCAAAGGGAUAUUUGUGGACCUGUCCAACCAACAUGCGGACCAUUUAGAUACUUUAUAGUGUUGGUUGAUGCAUCGACAUGAUGGUCACAUGUUUGCCUGUUGUUUACACGCAAUGCUGCAUUUGCAAAACUCCUAGCACAAAUUAUUAAGCUAAGGGUUCACCACCCUAAUUAUCUGAUUAAGUUGAUUCGACUGGAUAACGCUGAAGAGUUUACAUCACAGACUUUUGACGAUUAUUGCAUGUCAGUAGGGAUUGAUGUGGAACAUCUUGUACCCCAUGUUCACACCCAAAACGGCCUGGCAGAAGCUUUCAUAAAGCACCUUCAAUUGAUAGCUCGAACUUUGGUUAUGCGAGCCAAAUUGCCAGUAUCUACUUGGGGCUAUGCAAUAUUGCACGCAGCUAUGUUGGUCCAAGCUCGCCUCAUAGCGGAAGGCUUCUCUUAGCACCCUGGGAUUGAUUACGAGGUGACGUAUUCUCCCAUAAUGAACAUUAUAAGUUCUGUUACCUUAUCAGUUUGGUAGUUUUCGAAAAACUGAAUAUGCAGCUUAUGUACGUGGUAACCAUGUAUCUCUAUAGGGCUUUAGAUACGAAAAUAGAUAUGAAAGUUCCAGAAAGACUUCCAUUGACUGGUUCAAUUAGUUAUAGACCAUGGAACACUUUCUCGAUUAGAUUGAAGAGAUCACUUUAUGGAUUGAAACAAUUUGAGCGGAUAUGGUAUAACCGUCUAAGUGAAUAUUUGACAAGUCAGGGUUAUGUGAACAACGAAUUAUGCCCAUGCAUGUUCAUAAAGAAGUCACGUUCCAGAUUUGCAAUCAUUACAGUUUAUAUCGACGACAUGAACUUCAUUGAAACUUCCGCAGAGCUUAAGGAACUUGUCACGCACUUGAAAUCGAAAUUUGAGAUGAAAAAUCUUGGGAAAAGUUGAUAUUGCCUCGGCCUGGAGAUUGAGCAUUGUUUGGAUGGAAUCCUAGUACAGCAAUCGAACUACACCCAAAAGGUGUUGCGAUGUUUUAAUGAGGAUAAAAUGAAGCCUUCGAGUACACCUAUGGUUGUUCGGACUUUAGAUGCUAAAUGAGAUCCCUUCCAUCCAAAUGAGGAUGAGGAAGAGAUUUUGGAACCCAAAGUUCCAUACCUAAGUGCAAUUAGAGCUUUAUUGUACUUGACUCAAUGCACUAAACCCGACAUCUUAUUUGCUGUUAAUCUUUUGGCUAGAUACAGCAAUGCACCCACACGUAGACACUGGAAUGGUGUUAAAGACAUUUCCCUGUACCUCAAGGGUACGAUGGAUUUGGGCUUGUUCCAUACUUGUGAAUCUCCAAGUGUUAUCGCCCCCCUCAGUUCUUGAACUGAUUCUUGCCUUAUUGGUUACGCAGAUGCAGGAUAUUUGUCUAACCCACAUAGGGCACGUUCUCAAACGGGCUAUGUCUUUACCGUUGGAAACACCACUAUAUCUUGAAGGUCUACCAAGAAAACGCUAGUUGCGACUUCUUCAAACCAUGCUGAGAUUAUUGCCCUGCAUGAAGCAUCGCAUGAGUUCUUUUGGUUGAGAGCAGUUAUGGAAUAUAUUCGAAACACUAGUGGUCUUACUUUCGUCGUUAACCUUUCUAUGAUAAUCUUUCAAGACAAUGUAACAUGUAUCGAGUAGUUAAAGAAGGGUUACAUAAAGGGAGACAACACCAAGCAUAUAGUGCAGAAGUUCUUUUAUUCUCACUAACAACAACAGCAUCAGAACAUUGAAGUCAAGCAAAUCCGUUCCUAAGACAAUUGGCCUAUCUCUUCACUAAGUCAUUGCCCAAGUCUACUUUUUAGAAGUUCGUCCAAUGAAUUGGUAUGCGUAAAUUAUCUGAGUUGAAUCGCUUGUAAUUCUCUUAUUUGGAAGUUAUGUCUAACUCAGGGGUAGUAUCCAGAAGCAUACUCACUUGAUCUUAAUGUACUUUUUUUCCUACAAUUAGGAGUAUUUUUCUCACUGGUUUUUGCUACCUAACGAGAUUUUGAUGAGGCACCAUCUUGAGAUGAUCAUACUCCGUUGAGUUUACUACUUUCAUCCUGUUUGACGUUUGUUUUAGACAUUAUGCAUACUUCUCACUGUUUUCCUUAGUCUAUGGGUUUUCCCCAUGCCUUGGGUUUUACCAUAGCUGGGCUUUACCAUAGCGAGGUUUUACUACCAAUGCAUACUUUCUUUAAAUUUGGGACUCGCAUUCACCCAUUAUGCCUCCAACUUUAUAAACUAUUCUACCUUAUCUGUUGAAGAUCUGAUGCGAUUUUUGUUUAAGUAUUUACACACUGAAGGGGGAGUUGCAGUCAUAUUUAGAAUAUGAAUAUGAUUGUGUAAAUCCUAGUGUAUCUAGGGAUAUCUUUUAUAUUCCUUUUAGUAGUCUAAUUCCUAUUAGAGUUGUAAUCCUAAAAGGAUAAGAAUUUAACCUAUCCUACUACUAUAUAUAAAGGCACAAUAGGGUGAUUCAACACACACCUCACAAUAAAAUCUCUCUCUUCUCUCUCUCACUACUGUCGACCUCCCUCUCUCUAUUCCCUUAGAAUAGCUCAAUUAAAUAGGCCUACAACAAAAUAUAUAUAUAUAUAUAUAUAUAUAUAUAUAUAUAUAUAUAUAUAUAUAUAUAUAUAGUGAAGAUGAAUACUACUAAACAAUAGUACUACGUGACACCAAAAGAUAUCUUAACAUAAAAAUAAACCAAAUUGCUAAUUUUUUCUAACAUUUUAAUUAUAUUUAGAUAUAACGAUCAUCAACUCAUAAUCAUCUACAUAUGCAUGGGGUAGUAUAAUUUGUAAACUCACACACACACACACACACACACAUAUAUAUAUAUAUAUAUAUAUUAAUUUUUAACAAAAACGAUAUAUUUACACUAAGAAAUAGAGCAUUGGAGUUAAGUUAUAGAAAGGGCAUAUAAUAAUAAUUCCGUAUCAAAUUCAUCAUCUACUUGUAAAAAACGAUAUAUUUACACUAAGAAAUAGAGCAUUGGAGUUAAGUUAUAGAAAGGGCAUAUAAUAAUAAUUCCGUAUCAAAUUCAUCAUCUACUUGUCAAGCCUAAAACCUUGCACUGGCACGUGAAGAAAAAUAUUUCUACUAAAAUAUAAUACUAAUUUACGUCUGUUUAUUCUGUUAAAUUUCUUUUGUGAUAAUCUGUUCCGUCCAAUAAUUUUUCACUUUAUAUUUCCAAAGGUCGUUCUCCAAUUGAGCAGAUAAAAUAGACUAAGAUUGCUCGUAAAGAAGUUGUUUGGGACUUAUUUGUAACUUGUGCUUUAGGGUUAGAGUAAAUACCAAGUAGAACAACUUUUUAGACCAUAUUUGCAAAAUAUGUGAUGUGUUACAAUAAAAAAUAAGUACGUUAAUUAAUAUUUAAGUAAUAAUUCAAUUAUCAACAAUCACAUCAUAUAGUUUAAAUAGAAGGUCUCCUAAGUAUUGCCCUUAAGGUUAUAUAACUAGGGGCAAAUCACGAAUUCAAGAGUGUAUUAUGGUACUUAUUAAUGGAACUGGAUCUCUUCUGAAUCCAAAGGAACUGAGUCCAAUGAUCAAAUGAUCUGGGUCAUUGAAAUUUGAUCUAACGGCUAUAAUUAUUAUAACUUUUAGAGGGGCCCCUAUUUGUAGCAGUUGAAUCAAAUUUCAAUGGCACGGAUCGUUUGAUCCUUAGACUUAGAUUUUUUGGACCCAGGAAUCCGGUUCCCUUAUUAAUCAUCUAUUUUCUAGCUAAUUAAUCAGGCGACGUAUAGCUGGCUGGCCAGUCCUAGCUAGCAAUAUUGCAGCCACUAAGAAGGUUAGCAAUAGUGAAUUUGAUUGAUAUUCAGACCCUAAGAAAGCGACAAUUUCAAAUCGUGAAAUUAGGAUGUUUGUUUGGGCCUCUUGGUAUGGAAUGUACGGGUAAUGCUGUAUACCAUAAAAAACGAAAAUCUUCUCUAGCCUUCUACAGUUCUGAACAGUAACAAGAAUAAUAAUUUCGCAUGUAAUUAAAAAUUAAAAAAAUUGUGUACAGCUGAAGAUAAUUUGUUUUUUUAUGCUCAAACACAAGAAAUUCGUUUAUAUCUUCCUUUGUUUUUUCAAGGAACCUCGCGGCCGGCCGGUACAAGAAUCUUUUUUUUUUUUUUGAUAUGUGCAUAAUUUAUAUCAUCAAACAAAAAAACUUAUUGGUUAAUAGUGAAAUUAAGUAUGUUGUUAGGUCGACAUAUCAGAGAUAAGGUCUCCUAAGCUUGCAAGAGUAUCGAUCACAUGAUUGAUAUCCCAAAAAGUAUGGAGCAAAUAAUGCAGGUGGAAAAUGUCAUGUGGUUGUUGAUCAUGUUUAAGAUAAAAUCCAUCUGCAUGAUUUGAAGUCUUUAUUUAAAGUCUUUAUUUAACGACAGCUACAAAUAUUCUAUCACCGUAUAUAGCUCAAAUUCGAAUUUAUGUAUGUCCAACUAUGAACUAUUUUAUAGGACAAAAAUAUAAGACAAAUAAAUUGAGGGGUUUGAUCAAAUAAAUUAAUUAGAUGACCAGCAUAUUUGUAACUUUAUUUAUAAAAGUAUUAAUGUGAUUUCAAUAAUUGUAAGAGUUAAUAACUUUGUUUAUAAAAGUAUUAAUGUGAGUUUAACAACUGUGAGAGUCAUACAUUUGAACCUACUGAUUAUAAAUAGAAGAAAUUAGGUUCUCAUCCCUCUUUUUUCAACUCCAUUGAUUGAAACCUUAAUCAUUUCAAAUUUUAAUCAAGGUCCCUUGGUUUUAAUAAACAUCAUUAAUUAUUUCAAUAAUAAAAUAUUUUACAUAUCAAGAUAAUUAAAUUUUAUUUCUAAAUUAUUCAUUUAGUGUUAGGAACGUUACAUUUGAUAUAUUUAUAUUUAUGGCUAAAUUUUGUAUAAUAUAUUUUUAUUUUUAGUUUGUACCCAUUUUAAUUUGCAACCUUUUUUUAAAUUGUGCCAAUUUUCUAUUCAGUUUUAGUUUGUACCCAUAUAUUAAUUUCUUUUUGUGUCCAUAUUUUUCAAACUUUUAUUUGUUCUCAUAUUUUUUUGACCUUUUAUUUUUACCCAUAAUUUAUUAAUAAUGUACCCAUUUGUCUUUAAAAAGGUACCACUUUGUUAUAUGUAAAAUUUACCCAUUUAUUUUUUUAUUUUUUUGUAAGUACCCUCUCUUUUGUGUAAAAUAUACCCAUUGUUUUUUUAUAUGAAAUGUACCCAUUAUAUAAAACGUAUAACCUUUUUUUGUAUAAAAUGUACCAACUUUUUGUAUGUAAAAUGCAUCAUAUAAAAAUUACCAAUUUUUUGUAUGUAAAAUAUCAUUAAUAUAAGUAAUGACAAAUCAUGAGUUUUAUUUAUUUUUUAUUUUUUAUUUUUGAGAGAAAUGAUAGCAUUAGUAAGUUAAAUGUUAGAUUAGCCACCGACGGAGUUCGAACCCACGCCGUCAUGCAAUAACACACAUUUCCACCACUGUGGUAAAGAGCCACUUGCAUGGGUUUAUUUAAGUAAAUUUUUUUUAAAUAUUUUCAACAAAUUAUGAAUUUUAUUUAAAAUCUCAUUAAUAUAAACAGCACUGCGCUGCGCAAACUCUCCAAUUCAAAACCCCUCCAA